UACGGAGGGUGCAAGCGUUGCUCGGAAUUAUUGGGCGUAAAGGGUAGGUAGGUGGUCUCAUUUGUCUGAGGUGAAAUCCUUGAGCUUAACUCAAGAAGUGCCUUAGAAACGGUGAGACUAGAGUUCUGGAGAGGGUCGUGGAAUUCCCGGUGUAGCGGUGAAAUGCGUAGAGAUCGGGAGGAACACCGGAGGCGAAGGCGGCGACCUGGACAGAUACUGACACUCAACUACGAAAGCGUGGGUAGCAAACAGG
rnacentral:rRNA from 1 species